GGGCUUGUAGCUCAGUUGGUUAGAGCACCACCUUGACAUGGUGGGGGUCGUUGGUUCGAAUCCAAUCGAGCCCACCA
rnacentral:tRNA from 1 species